CACAGAUUCAUAUACUACCACCACCAAGAGCACUAUUACUAUCACCACCAACAACAACUAUUUUUGUUUCAGGUGAAAAAAUUCUUAAUUAUUCCUAGAUGCUGCUCUGGUUAAAAGAAACCUGUUUUGUUUUGUCUUUUUUUUUUCAUAGAGGAAAAAAGUGGAAAGGAAAGUGUAUUUAAUAUUUUACUAGUCCUCAAGGCCUCAAAAUAUGAUGACUGACUAUUUGAGCUUCACUAAAGACAGAAGAUGUGCUGAAAUAAAGAGUAAAGACGCUGUGAAUGUUUUCUGUGGAUAUAGUCAGAGCAGGAUCUGAGGUUCAAAAAGAGUACUGCUAUGAAACAACUCCCCAAACUUGCUAGCUCCUAGCGAUGAAGACUCAAAGACGCUACCUCUGGGAAAUCUAGACUGCUACCUUGUAAGCUGUGUUCAGCCUUUCAGGUUGCUGAGUUUCCAUUUAGGAAAUCCCUAAAGCACGUAUAAUACUGGCCUACUCACCAUUCAGCAGUUCAGUCUAGUGCCAACCUGCCGAAGCAGUUUGAUCCUCGUUCUAACAGGAAAGGAUAGUGUGCCAAAUGUUACUAAGCCUCAGGGACAGGAGAAUGGUGCAAUCAGUGUUGAAACAAUCCAUAUUUGAUGAAUGGGCAAGAAAGAUCUUAAAAGCAGAGAAGCCUCAGUCUGGGCUACACUGGGAAGGACUGAGGGUCAAUUCCACUGAUGCAUAUCCAAGGCUCAGCCUCUUAGCUUGUUGCUUCAAAGAGCCAACUGUCAUGCUGGGAGGUAAGCAGCUACUGCAAGUCACAGGCAAAACCUUCUGA
ensembl:lncRNA